rnacentral:tRNA from 1 species
GGGUCGCUAGCUCAAUUUGGCAGAGCAUCCGGCUCUUAACCGGCAGGUUCCGGGUUCGAGUCCCGGGCGACCCA